CGUGCUAAUCUGCGAUAAGCGCCGGUAAGGUGAUAUGAACCGUUAUAACCGGCGAUACCCGAAUGGGGAAACCCAGUGUGACUCGUCACACUAUCAUUAACUGAAUCCAUAGGUUAAUGAGGCGAACCGGGGGAACUGAAACAUCUAAGUACCCCGAGGAAAAGAAAUCAACCGAGAUUCCCUCAGUAGCGGCGAGCGAACGGGGAGGAGCCCAGAGCCUGAAUCAGCAUGUGUGUUAGUGGAAGCGUCUGGAAAGGCGCGCGAUACAGGGUGACAGCCCCGUACACAAAAGCGCAUAUGCUGUGAGCUCGAUGAGUAGGGCGGGACACGUGGUAUCCUGUCUGAAUAUGGGGGGACCAUCCUCCAAGGCUAAAUACUCCUGACUGACCGAUAGUGAAGCAGUACCGUGAGGGAAAGGCGAAAAGAACCCCGGUGAGGGGAGUGAAAAAGAACCUGAAACCGUGUACGUACAAGCAGUGGGAGCACCCUUUGGGGUGUGACUGCGUACCUUUUGUAUAAUGGGUCAGCGACUUAUAUUCUGUAGCAAGGUUAACCG
rnacentral:rRNA from 1 species